CUUUCACAUGUCUAAAAGAACAUAAUAAUAUUUAAUUCUGAAAAUAAAUCCACAAGUCAUUCUUAUUUCAAUUUUGUCGCUUCAUUUUCGUCUUCCUCUUCUCUCCAUGCUCCACCGUCUCCCCCACGACCUUCUCUUCAGGUUCCCGGUUUCAUUCACCUCAACAUGAUGGAAAAGAAAGAGAAACCAAGUCUUGGAAUUCAGAUUGUAUAUCUAUAGAGAACAACAUAUCAUCGGUUCAAAUAAAGGCCAAUUGGAUGGCUGGUGUUAGAUUCCAUCCUGCUAAAGGAAAUGCCCCUGCAGUUAUCUUUAUCAAGGAGGUGGAUGCUUUUGCUGCUGCUAGGUUUGACACAAAUUGGAGCUGAUAGAGAAGUUGGAUUAAUCCUUUUGAAGCAUAUGAAUCAGAAAGGUCCAAGAAAGUCAUAAGAAGUCGCGUGGAAGGGAGCAACAUUUCCUUAUGGUGAAUUUUACUUCUUAAAAUUGAGAAUCUCUUUGGUCUGUUCACUGAUUUCGCAUCAUGAAAUCUUGUAUUUUCCAUUUAUGGCUUCUUCAUUAUCAUUGUUAUCUUGUAAUUCCUUUACCCUUCAAGCCAAAUUUGAUGUUUUCCUUAGUUUCAGAGGUGAGGAUACUCGUGAUAUCUUUACUAGUCAUCUCUAUGCCGCUUUGCAGCGAAAACAGAUUGAAACCUUUAUUGAUGACAGUGGACUUCAAGAGGAGAUGAAAUUUCACCUUUGCUUUUGAUAGCAAUUGAAUCAUCCAAGAUUUCAGUAGUCAUUUUUUCAAAAGACUAUGCGUCUUCCCGAUGGUGCUUGGAUGAACUUGUACAAAUUCUUGAAUGUAAGAAAUUGAAUAACCAAAUGGUUAUACCAGUAUGCUUCCAUGUAAAUCCGUCGGACAUUCA